CAUUACUGAAAUGUCAACAAGGGUUGUUGCUGGUCCUCAAAUGGGGACAUGUGCACGCUCUGUUCACACAUCCACUCACACCUGUGCACCCUCUGUAGUUCCAUGGUCAGGGGGGCCUGUCCCCUCCUGCUAUGGUCCUGCGUCUUUACACACACACUGUAACAAAGUCUCAUGGAAUGCAUGCCGCGUUUAACGCAAUACAAUACAACUUUCAGCAACGGAUCUCUUGGCUCUCGCAUCGAUGAAGAACGCAGCGAAAUGCGAUAAGUAAUGUGAAUUGCAGAAUUCAGUGAAUCAUCGAAUCUUUGAACGCACCUUGCGCCCUUUGGCCAUUCCGAAGGGCAUGCCUGUUUGAGUAUCAUGAACACCUCAACUCUUCAUGGUUUUCCAUGAUGAGCUUGGACUCUGGGGGUCUUGCUGGCCUGUGGUCGGCUCCUCUCAAAUGAAUCAGCUUGCCGGUGUUUGGUGGGCAUCACAGGUGUGAUAACUAUCUACGCUUGUGGUUUUCCACCAGGGUAACCUUCAGCAGUGGAGGUUCACUGGAGCUCACAAAUGUCUCUCCUCAGUGAGGACAGCCCUUUAAAUGUUUG
rnacentral:rRNA from 1 species